UUUCUAGCUCGCAUUGCAAGCUCUUGCCGAUUCGCUGACAACCUUCCCCUUUGCCAGAUAUCGAAUCGGACAGGGCUCGGGAUGCGAGAUAGAACAUCC
rfam:Marine metagenome 1096626380416, whole genome shotgun sequence.